AAGAAGAGGAGAGAGAGUGGGGAAUAUGAGAAACAGAGCGUUUUUGUUGAUUUCCUCUCUCUAUCUUGUUUUCUCUUCGUCUUUCUUUUUCUCUU
rnacentral:ribozyme from 13 species